GUCUGGUAAUUGGAAUGAGUACAAUCUAAAUCCCUUAACGAGAAUCCAUUGGAGGGAGAGUCUGGUGCCAGCAGCCACGGUAAUUCCAGCUCCAAUAGCGUAUAUUUAAGUUGGUGCAGUUAAAAAGCUCAAAGUUUGACUUUGGGAUUGGCCGGCCGGUCCACCUAUGGUGUGCAUUGGUAGUCUCAUCCCUUCUGUCGGCGAUGCACUCCUGGCCUUAACUGGCCAAGUCGUGCAUCCGACAAUGUUAAUUUGAAGAAAUUAAAGUGCUUAAAGCAAGCCUACUCUCUGUAUACAUUAGCGUGGGAUAACAUUAUAUGAUUUCGGUCCUAUUAUGUUGGCCUUCGGAAUCGGAGUAAUAACUAACAGGGAUAGUCGGGGACAUUUGUAUUUCAUAGUCAGAGGUGAAAUUAUUGGAUUUAUGAAAUAGGAAAAACUACGAAAGUAUUUUCCAAGGAUGUUUACAUUAAUCAAGAACGAAAGUUGGGGGCUCGAAGGCGAUCAAAUACCAUCCUAGUCUCAAUUAUAAACAAUGCCGACCAGGGAUCGGAGGAUGUUGCUUUCAGGAAUCCGCCGGAACCUUAUGAGAAAUCGAAGUUUUUGGGUUCCGAGGGGAGUAUGGUCACAAGCCUGAAACUUAAAAGAAUUGACGAAAGGGCACCACCAGGAGUGGAGCCUGUGGCUUAAUUUGACUCAACACGAGGAAACAUACCAGGUCCAGACAUAGUAAGAAUUGACAGACUGAGAGCUCUUUGUUGAUUCCAUGGGUGGUGGUGCAUGGCCGUUCUUAGUUGGUGAAGCAAUUUUUUUGGUUAAUUUUGUUCAUGAACGUAACCACAACCUACUAACUAUCUAUGCGGAGGUAUCCCUUUGCAGCCAUCUUCUUAGAGGGACUAUGGCCUUUUAGGCCACGAAAGUUUGAGGAAAUAACAAGUCUGUGAUGCCCUUAGAUGUUCUGGGCCGCACGCGCACUACACUGAUGUAUUCAAUGAGUUUAUAGCCUUUUCUGACAGUCCCGGGUAAUCUUUGAAAUUUCAUAGUGAUGGGGAUAGAUCAUUGCAAUUGUUAGUCUUCAACGAGGAAUUCCUAGUAAGCGCGAGUCAUCAGCUCGC
rnacentral:rRNA from 1 species